rnacentral:antisense_RNA from 1 species
GGUAGCCAAAAAUUGUGAGUGGAUUGAGGGUGGGAUGAGAAAUUAACCGUACAUCACCGCCCCCUGGUGCCCAGGUAUCGUACAAUCCGCCCCAAAACAUGGCUUUGCCGACAAAUAAUAAGGCUGCAACACCCAGAGAAAUUAGGUUAAAGCCCAAAAUGGUGGUGAUUUUAUCUUUGUCUGCCCA